rnacentral:misc_RNA from 1 species
GAUGAAGGAACGUAGCGAAAUGCGAUAAGUAAUGUGAAUUGCAGAAUUCAGUGAAUCAUCGAAUCUUUGAACGCACAUUGCGCCCGCUGGUAUUCCGGCGGGCAUGCCUGUUCGAGCGUCAUUUCAACCCUCAAACCCCCGGGUUUGGUGUUGGGGAUCGGCUCUGCCUCACGGCGGUGCCGCCCCCGAAAUACAUUGGCGGUCUCGCUGCAGCCUCCAUUGCGUAGUAGCUAACACCUCGCAACUGGAACGCGGCGCGGCCAUGCCGUAAAACCCCAACUUCUGAAUGUUGACCUCGGAUCAGGUAGGAAUACCCGCUGAACUUAAGCAUAUCAAUAAGCGGAGGA